GGCGGAUUGGCGCAAUUGGUAGCGCAGUGGAUUCCAGUUCCAAAGGCUGUAGGUUCGAGUCCUGCAUCUGUCA
rfam:Monosiga brevicollis MX1 MONBRscaffold_55 genomic scaffold, whole genome shotgun sequence.